rnacentral:SRP_RNA from 1 species
GCAGGGCACGAUGGCUCAUGCCUGUAAUCCCAGCAUUUUGGGAGGCCGAGGCAGGUGGUUCACCUGAGGCCAGGAGUUCAAGACCAGCCUGGCCAACAAGGUGAAACCCUGUCUCUA